UUUCCGUAGGUGAACCUGCGGAAGGAUCAUUAAUGAGGGCGUGUGGGCUAAUAUCCCCGCGAACCCUAACCCUUUGUUUACUGUCCCAUUGUGGUUUACUUGAGUGCGAUUUGGCUCAAAAGUUUUUUUGUUUUUUUUGUUUUUGGGUCUUUUACGAUGUGCUCAAAAGGCUACCACAAUUAUUUUAAAAAAAAAAUAAAAUAAAAUAAAAAUAAAAAAAUUCUGGUAAUACAUUGAUGUCUGAGCAAAUUAUUUAAACAAGCAAAACUUUCAACAACGGAUCUCUUGGUUCCGGCAUCGAUGAAGAACGCAGCGAAAUGCGAUAAGUAAUGUGGACCGCAGUACUCAGCGACUCAUCGAAUCUUUGAACGCACAUUGCGCCCCUUGGUAUCACCAAAGGGCACACCUGUUCGAGCGUCAUCAUACAUCGUAUCAGGCUAAGGGCCCGGCUUGAAUUGGACCUUUUCUGCUUUAUGUAGAGGUCUUAAAGUUAGUGGCGGUUAAGUUAGGCAUUCCAGCGUAGUGAUUAUAUUAGCUGUUGAAGUGUCUUUUACAAUAACAGUCAACAGGUCCAGGGUUUCUGCUGGCGGAGACCUGGUUGGAUUUUAUCAAUUAUUGACCUCGGAUCAGGUGAGGAUACCCGCUGAAUUUAA
rnacentral:misc_RNA from 1 species